rnacentral:rRNA from 1 species
UACGUAGGGGGCGAGCGUUGUCCGGAUUCAUUGGGCGUAAAGCGCUUUAAGGCGGUUCGCUAAGUCGCGUGUGAAAACUCCAGGCUCAACCUGGAGACGCCACGCGAUACUGGCGUGACUAGAGUUCGGUAGGGGAUCACGGAAUUCCUGGUGUAGCGGUGAAAUGCGCAGAUAUCAGGAGGAACACCGGUGGCGAAGGCGGUGAUCUGGGCCGACACUGACGCUGUAGAGCGAAAGCGUGGGGAGCGAACAGG